rnacentral:rRNA from 1 species
CUAGAGUGCAGGAGAGGAAAGCGGAAUUCUAGUGUAGCGGUGAAAUGCGUAGAGAUUAGGAAGAACACCAGUGGCGAAGGCGGCUUUCUGGACUGUAACUGACGCUGAGGCACGAAAGCGUGGGUAGCAAACAGGAUUAGAUACCCUGGUAGUCCACGCCGUAAACGAUGGAUACUAGGUGUAGGGGGUAUCAACUCCCCCUGUGCCGCAGUUAACACAAUAAGUAUCCCGCCUGGGGAGUACGGUCGCAAGAUUAAAACUCAAAGGAAUUGACGGGGGCCCGCACAAGCAGCGGAGCAUGUGGUUUAAUUCGAAGCAACGCGAAGAACCUUACCUGGACUUGACAUCCCUUGCAUAGCCUAGAGAUAGGUGAAGCCCUUCGGGGCAAGGAGACAGGUGGUGCAUGGUUGUCGUCAGCUCGUGUCGUGAGAUGUUAGGUUAAGUCCUGCAACGAGCGCAACCCUUGUUAUUAGUUGCUACCAUUAAGUUGAGCACUCUAAUGAGACUGCCUGGGUAACCAGGAGGAAGGUGGGGAUGACGUCAAAUCAUCAUGCCCCUUAUGUCCAGGGCUACACACGUGCUACAAUGGUAGGUACAAUAAGACGCAAGACCGUGAGGUGGAGCAAAACUUAUAAAACCUAUCUCAGUUCGGAUUGUAGGCUGCAACUCGCCUACAUGAAGCUGGAGUUGCUAGUAAUCGCGAAUCAGAAUGUCGCGGUGAAUACGUUCCCGGGCCUUGUACACACCGCCCGUCACACCAUGAGAGCUGGUAACACCCGAAGUCCGUGAGGUAACCGUAAGGAACCAGCGGCCGAAGGUGGGAUUAGUGAUUGGGGUGAAGUCGUAACAAGGUAGCCGUAGGAGAACCUGCGGCUG